GAUGAACGCUGGCGGCGUGCUUAACACAUGCCAGUCGAACGGAAAGGCUCCUGCUUGCAGGGGUACUCGAGUGGCGAACGGGUGAGUAACACGUGGGUGAUCUGCCCUGCACUUCGGGAUAAGCCUGGGAAACUGGGUCUAAUACCGGAUAGGACGAUGGUUUGGAUGCCAUUGUGGAAAGUUUUUUCGGUGUGGGAUGAGCUCGCGGCCUAUCAGCUUGUUGGUGGGGUAAUGGCCUACCAAGGCGUCGACGGGUAGCCGGCCUGAGAGGGGGUACGGCCACAUUGGGACUGAGAGACGGCCCAGACUCCUACGGGAGGCAGGAGUGGGGAAUAUUGCACAAUGGGCGCAAGCCUGAUGCAGCGACGCCGCGUGGGGGAGGACGGCCUUCGGGUUGUAAACACCUUUCGCUAGGGACGAAGCGCAAGUGACGGUACCUGGAGAAGAAGCACCGGCUAACUACGU
rnacentral:rRNA from 1 species